rnacentral:rRNA from 1 species
GACGAACGCUGUUGGCGUGCCUAACACAUGCAAGUCGAGCGAAGUGAGUACUACGGUACGAACUUAGCGGCGGACGGGUGAGUAACGCGUGGACAAUCUACCCUGUAGACUGGGAUAACACCUCGAAAGGGGUGCUAAUGCCUGAUAAUGUCGAGAAGCGGCAUCGCUUUUCGAAGAAAGGAGAGAAUCCGCUAUAGGAGGAGUCCGCGUCCCAUUAGCUAGUUGGUGAGGGUAACGGCCCACCAAGGCGACGAUGGGUAGCCGGCCUGAGAGGGUGAACGGCCACACUGGAACUGAGACACGGUCCAGACUCCUACGGGGGGCAGCAGUGGGGAAUAUUGUGCAAUGGGGGAAACCCUGACACAGCAACGCCGCGUGAGCGAAGAAGGCCUUCGGGUUGUAAAGCUCAAUAGUAUGGGAAGAUAAUGACGGUACCAUACGAAAGCCCCGGCUAACUACGUGCCAGCCGCCGCAGUAACAC